rnacentral:rRNA from 1 species
UCAUUAAAUCAGUAUCGUUUAUUGAUAGUACCUUACUACUUGGAUACCCGUGGUAAUUCUAGAGCUAAUACAUGCUAAAAACCCCAACUUCGGGAGGGGUGUAUUUAUUAGAUAAAAAACCAAUGCCCUUCGGGGCUCCUUGGUGAUUCAUGAUAACUUCUCAGAUCGCAUAGCCUUGUGCUGGCGACGGUUCAUUCAAAUUUCUGCCCUAUCAACUUUCGAUGGUAAGGUAGUGGCUUACCAUGGUUUCAACGGGUAACGGGGAAUUAGGGUUCGAUUCCGGAGAGGGAGCCUGAGAAACGGCUACCACAUCCAAGGAAGGCAGCAGGCGCGCAAAUUACCCAAUUCCGAUGCGGAGAGGUAGUGACAAUAAAUACUGAUACAGGGCUCUUUUGGGUCUUGUAAUUGGAAUGAGUACAAUUUAAACCUCUUAACGAGGAACAAUUGGAGGGCAAGUCUGGUGCCAGCAGCCGCGGUAAUUCCAGCUCCAAUAGCGUAUAUUAAAGUUGUUGCAGUUAAAAAGCUCGUAGUUGAACCUUUGGCCUGGCUGGCAGGUCCGCCUCACCGCGUGCACUUGUCCGGCCGGGCCUUUUCUUCUGGAGAACCGCAUGCCCUUCACUGGGUGUGUUGGGGACCAGGACUUUUACUUUGAAAAAAUUAGAGUGUUCAAAGCAGGCCUUUGCUCGAAUACGUUAGCAUGGAAUAAUAGAAUAGGACGUGCGGUCCUAUUUUGUUGGUUUCUAGGACCGCCGUAAUGAUUAAUAGGGACAGUCGGGGGCAUCAGUAUUCAAUUGUCAGAGGUGAAAUUCUUGGAUUUAUUGAAGACUAACUACUGCGAAAGCAUUUGCCAAGGAUGUUUUCAUUAAUCAGUGAACGAAAGUUAGGGGAUCGAAGACGAUCAGAUACCGUCGUAGUCUUAACCAUAAACUAUGCCGACUAGGGAUCGGGCGGUGUUUCUAUUGUGACCCGCUCGGCACCUUACGAGAAAUCAAA